UGGGGAAUAUUGCACAAUGGGGGAAACCCUGAUGCAGCGACGCCGCGUGAGUGAAGAAGCGUUUCGGCGCGUAAAGCUCUGUCAGCGGGGAAGAAACACGGUUCGCGAGAGCCGCGGACGGUACCCGACCAAGAAGCCCCGGCUAACUACGUGCCAGCAGCCGCGGUAAUACGUAGGGGGCAAGCGUUAUCCGGAUUCACUGGGUGUAAAGGGAGCGUAGACGGCGAGACAAGUCUGGAGUGAAAGGCCGGGGCCCAACCCCGGGACUGCUCUGGAAACUGCCUGGCUGGAGUACAGGAGAGGUAAGUGGAAUUCCUAGUGUAGCGGUGAAAUGCGUAGAUAUUAGGAGGAACACCAGUGGCGAAGGCGGCUUACUGGACUGUAACUGACGUUGAGGCUCGAAAGCGUGGGGAGCAAACAGG
rnacentral:rRNA from 2 species